rnacentral:lncRNA from 1 species
GAGAGGACCAGAGCCUUAGCCUGGAAUUUUCCUAAGAAAAAGCUCACAGAUCAUUUGGGACCUUUAAAUACAGAUGCCUUGUUGAAACCCAGCUAGGAAGCAAUAAGAUCAGAUAUGGUAAAUAAGGAGAAAUUCAAAAAUCCCUGUUGUGUAGACACAUCAUUUUCUGUAAAUAAUUACUUGAUCUUUCUUUCAAGUGGUAAAUAGCCAUUUAUUGAGUAUUCUUGCUUUGAUUGUCUACGUAAGCAUGUAAGACUACAACAUUACGACCCAUCUCUUCAAGAGGAAGUCUGGUAUUAUGGAAAAACAUUUUGUCAUUCAGAUUUUUUUUUCUUACAGUAUGCCCAUCACAAACCAGGCAGCAAGCAAGGUAUUGGGUGCUACUCAAUCCAGUGAAGUCUUGAGGGUCCCUUCCCUCUGUGAAGCAUAUAAUCUAGUGGGGUAGACUGCUAGCUACUAACUAUGAAAACAACAUAGUCUGACUUGAGAGUGGGGAAAGUGGAACAAGGGAGUAAUUUUUAUAUUUUUCUUCACAUUUAAAAAUAUUUUCUAAACAAUCCAAUAUAAUCUUUUCUAUAAUUUCCAAUACAAUCAACAUGUAUUACUUGUAAAAUAAUAGCAUACAUAUAUCGACAGACUGAAGAAGGUAUACUAUUAGAGAACAUUUGCAGAAAAGAAUUCCACAUCUUUUUUUUGAGACAGAGUUCUGCUGUCACCCAGGCUGGAGUGCAGUGGCAGCAAUCUAGGCUCACUGCAACCUCCACCUCUUGGGUUCAAGCAAUUCUCCUGCCUCAGCCUCCUGAGUAGCUGGGCCUACAGGCACGCGCCACCACACCCAGAUAAUUUCCUGACCUCAGAUGAUCCACCCACCUUGGCCUCCCAAAGUGAUGGAAUUACAGGCGUGAGCCACUGCACCUGGCCGAGAAUUCCACAUUUUAAGAAUAUGGUAAAAGAGUUUUAUUCUCUUCAGUAAGAUGAGGUUGAGAAUAAAAAAUUAAAAAGAUUAAGCAAAUGACACUUUCACAUCAUAGGGUAGUAAUAAUGAACUUUAAUAAUCUUAAAAAAAUACUUAUUGGGGAUAAGAAAUGUGGUUUACAAGUAAACUGUUACUUUCUAGACUUAACCCAAGAAGUUAAUGGAGUAGGUGUGUUUCAGUAAAGUAACAGGAAAUGGUACAGAAACCACCAAUGGUCAUCAUGCUUGAGAGUCAAUACAGCACAUAAUUCACAGCACAGAUGAGGCUGGGUGCAGCAAUUCAUGCCUGCAAUUCUACCACUUUGGGAAGCUCAGGCGAGAGGAUCACUUGAGCCCAGGAAUUUGAGACCAGCGUGGGCAACAAGGCUAGACCCCAUCUCUACAAAAUAUAUAUUUAAAAUUAGUUGGGUGUUACCCAGGCAUGGUGGCUCACACCUAUAAUCCCAGUACUUUGGGUAGCCGGGGGAGGUGGAUCACUUGAGGUCAGGAGUUUGAGAUCAGCCUGGCCAACAAGGUGAAACCUUGUCUCUACGAAAAAUACAAAAAUCAGCCAGGCAUUAUGGUGGGUACCUGUAAUCUCAGCUACUUUGGAGGCUGAAGCACGAGAAUUGCUUGAUCUUGGGAGGCAGAGGUUGCAGUGAGCCAAGAUUGUGCCACUGUACUCCGGCCUGGGCAACAGAGUGAGACUUCAACUCAAAAAAACAAAAAUAAAUAAAAAUGAAAAAUAAAAAAAUAUAUAUAUAAAAUUAGGUACGUGUGGUGGUGCAUGCCUGUGGUUCCACCUAAUCAAGAGGCAGUGGCAGGAGGAUUGCUUGAGCCCAGGAGUUUACGGCUGCAGUGAGCUAUGAUCACGCUACUACACUCCAGCCUGGGCAACAGAGCAAGAGGUUGUCUUUUUUUUUUUUUUCUUUCUGAGACAGGAUCUCACUCUGUUGCCCAGGUUGGAAAGCAGUGGCAUGAUCUCAGCUCACUGCUGCCUCAGUCUCCCAGGCUCAAGUGAUCCUCCCACCUCAGUCUCCCAAGUAGCUGGAACUACAGGUGCACACCAUCACAUCCAGUUAUUUUUUUUUUUUUGACGGAGUCUCGCACUGUUGCCCAGGCUGGAGCGCAAUGGCACGAUCUCAGCUCACUGCAACCUCCACCUCCCAGGUUCAAGCAAUUCUCCUGCCUCAGACUCCUGAGUAGCUGGGAUUACAGGCACUCACCGCCGAGACUCCGUCUCAAAAAAAAAAAAAAAAAAAAAAGUAUAGCUACUAUUAUAAUCCUGUGAAAAUAAUCAAUAUAAAAUUAAAAAUCAACAGACAGCCCAUAUUGCCCUUUUUUGGCCUAACAAAAAACAGAUUUCUAAGAAGACAGUAAGAAAUCAGUAUUAAUUUAAACAUUGUACAGGACAGGAGAUCAAAAGCACAGGUAUACAAAUGGUUCAUUUAAAAAAACUGAUACUCAAAUUGACACCCUGAAAAUGUCAGAUAAUUUUUCAGAAUGAUUAAACUCACUAAACAUCUGUAAACAAUAAAUUUAUUUCAUUUCUUUUAAAGAUUUAAUGAUAUACAAAACGUAUAUAGUAUCUUUAAGUAAUACACUUUUUCUUUCUCCC